rnacentral:rRNA from 1 species
GACGGAGGGUGCAAGCGUUGCUCGGAAUCACUGGGCGUAAAGGGUGCGUAGGCGGGUUUUUAAGUCAGGGGUGAAAUCCUGGAGCUCAACUCCAGAACUGCCUUUGAUACUGAAGAUCUUGAGUCCGGGAGAGGUGAGUGGAACUGCGAGUGUAGAGGUGAAAUUCGUAGAUAUUCGCAAGAACACCAGUGGCGAAGGCGGGCUCACUGGCCCGGUACUGGACGCUGAGGCACGGAAAGCGUGGGGAGCCAAACAGG